rnacentral:rRNA from 1 species
AUGUCUGUUUUUUGUCUACCGAAGGGAGUAUGCAAAGAUAUCACAGAUGCGAUUGCCCAGUUUUGGUGGGGAGAUGAGGAGGAGAAUAAAAAAUUACAUUGGUUUUCUUGGUGGAAGCUUUGUGUCCCGAAAUCUGAUGGUGGAAUGGGGUUCAAAGACCUUUAUUCUUUCAACUUAGCACUCCUUGCCAAACAAUGCUGGAGAUUAAUUAUAUACCCAGAUUCUAUUUGUGCCAGGAUCCUUAAGGCGAAGUAUUUCCCAAAUACUGGUAUCCUCCAAGCCGGUCCAAAGAAGGGCUCUUCUUUUACAUGGCAAAGCAUUGUUGCGGGAAUUGCUACUUUCAAACGUGGGUACAUUUGGCGCAUUGGAUCAGGGGAAAAAGUUAACAUAUGGACUGAUCCAUGGGUCCCAUCUAGUCCGGAUAGGAGAAUUUUGACUCCAAGAGGUAAUACUGUGCUUACAAUGGUGAAUGAUUUGAUAAACCCUGCUGAUGGCCAAUGGGACGAGGAGUUAAUUAGAGAUCUAUUUUGGCCGGUGGAUGCAGCGAGGAUCCUGCAAAUCCCAAUUAACUAUCAGGCUUUUGAUGAUUUCAUUGCAUGGAAUCUUACUACCAGUGGUGUUUUCUAUGUAAAAACCGCAUAUGAGGUAGAAUGGUUGCACAAGUACAGGGGGCAGACUCAAGAGAAUAACACGUCAAGUAGUACCUUGCAACCUGAAAUUUGGAAUCAACUUUGGAAGUUGCAAGUACCGAGGAAGAUCCAGAUAUUUUGCUGACGUGCAUUACGUGGUAUAGUUCCUCUGAAAUCGAUACUUGCUAAUAAGCAUAUUCCUGUAAGUGGAGAGUGUCCACACUAG